UACAGAGGGUGCGAGCGUUAAUCGGAAUUACUGGGCGUAAAGCGUGCGUAGACGGCUAUCUAAGUCGGGUGUGAAAGCCCCCGGGCUCAACCUGGGAAUUGCAUUCGAGACUGAAUAGCUAGGGUGCGGUAGAGGGAAGCGGAAUUUCCGAUGUAGCGGUGAAAUGCGUAGAUAUCGGAAGGAACAUCAGUGGCGAAAGCGGCUUCCUGGACCAGCACC
rnacentral:rRNA from 1 species